AUUUGUUUAACAGGUAUUUUAGUCCUUGUUUGUGAAGUUAUAUAUUUAGUUCAUUAGUUUUUUUGCAUAAAAUUGCUUAAUGUUUGAAGAGUUAAUAUAUGCUGUAUGGAGUUUAAUUUCCAUGGACGUUAUGGGCCUUUCAAGAAACUUCCAAUUUUCAUGUUAAGGAAGGAACGUAUCGAACGUUCUCUCUUACUGGACCACAAAUACACGCCAAAAUGCGUAAACAUGGAAAAAGUUUUGCAUUCCAUAAUUAUGUUUUUUUCUAAAUAUAAAUACGCCAAAAUGAAGUGAAUUGGUAUGGCGUUUUUACCUACCUUGUUCAAAUGAUUUAACUUGCAGUAGAAUUCUUGCUUUAAAAUGUGUAAAGAAAACGUUUCAAUGACCAUGCAGUAGUCGGAUCGGCUGACGUAUGAGCUAAAUGGGUUUCUUUUUUGCUGUAUCCACUUGAAGCGUCACGUAUAUAAUAGGACAUCCUGGAACGAAUAAAACCAAUACUCACUUAAUAUUUGCAUUAUUUAUUAAAAUUUGAAUUCAAAAACGUUUUUUGCGAGAAUUUGAAUUGUGACAAGCCAGAUUUUCUUAAAAUAAAAUAUUUACAUCUUCUUCCUCUCGUUUUAAUUUUCUUUUAGUAUUGACAUAGUAGGUGAAGUGGCGGAUCCAGUUGGAGCGAAUUAGUAUUGUGUUCUUUUCUUAGACUGAUAUAUAUACAUUGUAUUCAAGGUCUUAUGCAAACAAGACCGGAAACGGAAGUAGAUUUCUACGCAGAUCCGGAAACCGGAAAUUCAAAAACGCGACAUACAAAGUUUUGAACGAUUUUGAGUUCAUUAGUACAAUGAAAAAUUCGGGAAAAUUUCCCGAUUUUUUUUUAUUUUUUUUUAUUGAAAUUUCUACUGUAAUAGGGGACUUCGUCCCCAUAUAAACAUGAUAAAUCAAACAGAUACAAGUAUUAUAAAUUUCAUAUAGUUCGACACAAUUUUUGACAUAUUAUUUAGAUUGUUCAGCGUAAUUAAAUCAUUGAUAUCGGGCCAAACUUUUAAUCAAUAAAAAGUAGCUAUAGGGUACAUAUCAAUGAGAUAGCAAUCCACUUACAAAAAUAACCAAGACAUCUAGAUGUUUCAAAAAUAGAUUGACCCCAAGAGGGCAACUUCGAAUUCAAUAACUGACGGGUCUUUAUACCAAUAGAUCUAGAUAUACAUAUAUUUUAUUGUAUUUCUUUCUAUGAUGUUUUGAUGUUACACUAUUGUUUCAGGUAAGGGUGAAGUUUGGUACCUAUUAAAACAUUUAAACCCGCUGCAUCUGUUUGCACCUGUCCUAAGUCAGGAACCUGAUGUCAGUAGUUGUCGUUUGUUGAUGUGGUUUAUAAGUGUUUCUCGUUUUUCUUUUUUUUUUUUUUGUAUAGAUUAGACCAUAGGUUUUUACAGUUUGAAUGGUUUAACACUAGACUCAUUUUGGGCCCUUUAUAGCGUGUUUUUCGGUGUGAGCUAAGGCUCCGCCGUACUUUGGCCUAUAAUGGUUUACUUUUACAAAUUGUGACUUGAACAGAGAGUUGUCUCAUUGCCACCAUAACGCAUCUUCUUAUAUCUAUAUGUAUGUUGUAAAUACAAUUAUUGGCAAUAAUAUCAAAUAUUC
rnacentral:lncRNA from 1 species